CUGGCUGAGGUAGAGCGCGUGGUUUGGGACCACGAGGUCGCGGGUUCGAGCCCCGCCGGCCCGA
rnacentral:tRNA from 1 species